rnacentral:rRNA from 1 species
AGGACGAACGCUGGCGGCGUGCUUAACACAUGCAAGUCGAGCGGAAAGGCCCUUCGGGGUACUCGAGCGGCGAACGGGUGAGUAACACGUGAGUAAUCUGCCCCUAGCUCUGGGAUAGCUCCGGGAAAACCGGGAUUAAUACCAGAUACGACCACUUUAGACAUCUGUUGUGGUGGAAAGAAUUUUGGCUAGGGAUGAGCUCGCGGCCUAUCAGCUUAUUGGUGAGGUAACGGCUCACCAAGGCGACGACGGGUA